rnacentral:ncRNA from 1 species
CUUCAGGGUCAGGUGAAAUUCCUAACCGGCGGUUAUAGUCCGCGAGCCUAUUGGCUGAUUUGGUGAAAUUCCAAAACCGACAGUAAAGUCUGGAUGGAAGAAGU